rnacentral:rRNA from 1 species
AGGACGAACGCUGGCGGCGUGCUUAACACAUGCAAGUCGAACGAGGUCCAUCCGGUAGCAAUACCGGAGAAGACCUAGUGGCGAACGGGUGAGUAACACGUGAGCAACCUGCCCCGAAGACCGGGAUAACAGCGGGAAACCGCUGCUAAUACCGGAUGCCCCCACCGGGUCGCAUGACCUGGUGAGGAAAUGGAUUCCGCUUCGGGAGGGGCUCGCGGCCUAUCAGCUUGUUGGUGGGGUAACGGCCUACCAAGGCGACGACGGGUAGCUGGUCUGAGAGGACGAUCAGCCACACUGGGACUGAGACACGGCCCAGACUCCUACGGGAGGCAGCAGUGGGGAAUAUUGCGCAAUGGGCGAAAGCCUGACGCAGCAACGCCGCGUGAGGGAUGAAGGCCUUCGGGUUGUAAACCUCUUUCGAGCAGGGACGAUAAUGACGGUACCUGCAGAAGAAGCUCCGGCCAACUACGUGCCAGCAGCCGCGGU